GCUGGGCAUGGUGGGACCUAUAGUCCCAGCUACUCAGGAGGCUGAGGUGGGAGGAUCACUUGAGCCCAGGAGUUCUGGGCUGUGGUGCACUAUGCCAAUUGGGUGCCCACACUAAGUUCAGCAUCAAUAUGGUGACCUCCCAGGAGCGGGGGACCACCAGGUUGCCUAAGGAAGGGUGAACCGGCCCAUGUCGGAAAUGGAGCAGGUCAAAACUCCCGUGCUGAUCAGUAAUGGGAUCACGCCUGUGAAUAGCCACUGCACUCCAGCCUGGGCAACAUAGUGAGACCCCCAUCUCU
ensembl:misc_RNA Metazoa_SRP Metazoan signal recognition particle RNA